UUCAGAAAAUACUGAUCAUGAAUCCCAUGGAGAGAGAAAAAUACAUGCAAAAAGAGAAAUAGGACCAGAGGAAAUAAAGGGAGAGCGUGAUAAACUGGAGCCUCUAAAGGAAGAGCCAUGAAGGUCCGGAUGACAGAAUUAAGACUGCUUCUGGGCCAAAGACUGAAGCAGAGGAAGGGAAGAAAAUCAAAGAAAGGAACAAGGAUUAAGAGGACCUGCCAUGUGCCAGGAUCUUCCUCAGCGUCCACAAUUUUGUUGACAGGAAUUAGGGGGAUAGAAGAAAAUAGAUCUUUAGAGAUGAUUGUCACUUCUUCUUUAACCCAACCCUACAUAUAAAUCUGAUUUCAGAAUAUUCCAGCAUGGGCAGGAUACCCUAUUUCUAAUGCCCUAGUUUGUCUGGAAGACAAAAACAUAGUAGAAAGGGAAAGAUAAGCCUUAUCAAAGUCUUAUCAAAAAUUUAUGUUGAUUUGGUUGAGGAAGUUUUCAGAUACUUUUCCCUAAGAUUUGGAUUGGGUGAAACAUAACCCUUUCUUUUGUAAUAUGAGGGAAGUUUGAUUGUUAGAAGGAAAUGGAAAAAAAAAAACUAAAUUGAUGCCUUGACCCUAGAUCUAUUCUCAGGCAGAUCAAUUUUUGCAAAAAGUUGAGAAUAUGAAAAUGGAUUUUCAUCUACUGCCUACAAAGUUCUUGAAAAAUCUUCAUGGAUACUCAGAGGCAUAUCUACCAAAUUUGGUAAUUCUUGGCCUAUGUAUUUGUCUCUUAGUCAAUUUGAGUUGCUACAACAAAGUACCAUAGACCGUAUGGAUUAUAAACCACAGAAAUUUAUUUCUCUUACUUCUGGAGACUGGGAGUCUGAGAUCAAGGAUUCUGUUGAGAGCCCUCUUCUGAAUUGUAGAUGGCUACAAUUCAUGGCUACACAACAUUCCUGUUGUGUCCUCAUAUCGUAGAAAGAGGCUCUCUGGCCUUUUACUAUAUGGACACUAGUCCUUUUCAUGAAGGCUGUACCCUCAUGAUCUAAUUACCUCCAAAGGUCCCACCUCCAAAUACCAUAUUAGGAAUUAAAUUUUAACAUAAGAAUUUUGCAAGGGGGACACUAACAUUCAGUCCAUAACAGUGCUUUACAAAAUUAAAUAGUGAAUUGAUGGCUGUGGAAAAACAAUUUGUGCAGAUAAUCAAUAAUGUUCACAGAUGAGAACAAAAAGAAGUAUGUUAAAAUGUUAUUCAUCAAAGAGUAAGUAGGGAUUGCACUUUAAUUCUAUUAGGACAUAUAAUGGACAAUAUAAAAAUCAUUUUUUAAAAUUUUUGUCAAAACCUUCUGCCCUUUUAAAUCCAUUUUUCAUAUUAAUACUCAUCUCUGUCACAUUAUUUUAUUAAUAGAUGUUUAAUGAGAAAUACCUCAACUAUUUAGAUUUAAGAUGUUAAAUUUCUGGGGCCACACCAUGCAGCAUGGGGGAUCCUAGUUCUUGGACCAGGAAUUGAACCCGACCCCCUGCAGUGGAAGCAUAGACCACCAGGGAAACCCCUAAAAUGUUAAAUCGUAACAGCAGGAAAUACUUUUAGGCACUGGGUGAGCUUAUUCGCCCUGUUGUUUCAUGAUUCAGCAAAUAGUUGAAUGCCUACCAAAAACUCAGUGGAGCCAAACACAGGCAAUCUAACAAUGAGUGAAAUUCAGUAUGGUCCCUGCAUCCGUGGAGAUGCAUCACCCUUUGAUGAAAGCAAAAGGAGCUAUAACUUAAACAAGAAAAUGAGAUCCAUGUACAGAACCUAGAUUAGCUUGACAAAAUGAAAGAUAAGCUCUAGAAUAUCCCUGUGGCUUUCAGCUUCAGGAACCUGAGAACUCUAUUUUUAAUAAUUCCAUUGGAUCAUCCUGUCAUGGACACCUUCUGCAUCUGUGGAUCUUUGCUGUUAUUUAAAUCCCGCAAGGUCAUGUACGGAUGUGAGAGUUGAACCAUGAAGAAGGCUGAGCCCUGAAGAAUUGAUG